ACCUCAGAGAGAGCCACCCAGCCGCCGUCAUCGCCGAACCACCGAUCCGUUCGCAUCAGGUGACGACCGGAUCCGCCGUCGCCGUCGGCGGCAUCCGAACCCGGCGAGUUACGCAUACGCUGCUUCUUCUCCACGCUAUCCGCCCGUUUAUUUUCCUACUUCUGGUUCCUUGCCGCGAGAUUUAGAUUGCAUCUGCCGUAUUUGUUUUGUUCUCGGGAGCAUCCGUGAUGUUACAUCCACUUAACUCAUCCUUGCACUUUGAGUCUCGGCAGUGAAGAAAAACAUUGGGGAAUUUGUAGUCUGAGAUGCUCUCAUGUUCUUGCUUUUGUUUAGAUCUGUCUGCCUUUUUUUCCCCGUGGAUUUGCGUUGCUUCAAGUCGUGGAUCCCUGAUGUUAUUGUUUACUGCGUUAUCUUUCUCGAACUUCUAAGUAAUGAGGAAAGCAUUACCUACUGAGAUCCAAGGCACGCUUGACGUUUUGUUUUCUAUGAUCAACUUUUUUCCUCUCUGGGCAAUACUAGCUGUUUACUUCAUUGUUUCUUUCGAUUUUUUUUGUUUCGUUUCUGAUAUUUCUUUGAAUUUUCUGUGCUUCGUCAUCUGGUCAUUGGGAGGAUCAGUCUGAUCGGUUUCCAGUGGACUCGUUCCCUUGAAGCAACAUUAACCUGUUGUAUCCUGAGCUACCUACUUUGUGCCCUAGGAUGUGUCUCUCCAAAGGGCGCCGUGGCUCUUACAUACAUAUCCUAAUUAUAAUUAAUAUGUCACUCUACUCUGCUUAUUUGAUUGAAUCGACUUACUGAUGAUUUGGUGAUUUGAUAUCUUUCUCUACUGUAGUUCUAUUUGGUUUUAUGUGUUUUUCUUCUUUUUAGUUUCUGUUUAGAGAUAGUGUUCACAAUUAUUCGGAUGGAAGUGAGGAUCCUUUCCCCAGCUGAUCGACAAUGAUUGUACUGUGCGCAAAUGUUAUCCUUUAUCAGAGGAUUCCAAGCCAGAAAUCUGAUCCAUCCACUUCAAAAAUAUCUCUUAUGUUUUCUUAACGGCCCUUUAUCUUUGUUAGUAUUUUCAUUGGCAUAUUUCGAAUGGAAAUUUCAGUGUCAAUUCAAAUUUGAUUAAUAUUGUGGUGUGCACAUGAUGAGAAACCAUAUGCAACUCACGACGGUCGUCUGAGACACUCUGUGUGUAAUGGUGCAUUCAUAUGUUAUCUGAUGCCUAUUCUGUUUCUUCAGUUUGUUGGUGAUUUAGGUUCUCCCGUGGCUUCAGUUUCUUUGUUUCAGGAGUUGAUUGCAUUUCUUUUUCAUUCAUACAACUUGUAAUGUGGCACCCGGUAGCAGUUGGAAGCAAGCAAAAGAGAUUUGUAGCUGCGCAGCCGUUAGCCUAGAAGAGAUUUGGCCCAGUCUUAGGUCGGCUUUGUUGUAGUUAUGAGGAUGAUGAUUUCAAAUUUGUCGCCCCAGUCUUAGGGUCCGCUUAGGUGGAUCUGUGCUGAUUGACAUACUACUUAAUCUGACCUGGCAAAUCUAAGUUUGAACAGUUGUUUGAUUUUCUUUACUUAAAUUCCUAGUGAUGGCAGUGACGAUUUGCAAAUAUUCAAGCUCAACAGACCAAAUCACAGGUUUUCUCUCAAGAGUUGAUUUGUAUGCCGAUUAUCCCGCUGAACUGAGCCAUCUGAUAUCCUUUAUUUUUAAUGUGCGGUUCAUUGUUCGUUUCCUUUUGGAGAGUGGUUGUGAUGAGGAGAACAAGCUCCCUCUUCUGAAAGCAUUGACGACAUUGCUGGCACAAUCGAACGAAUUAAUAAUUGCCACCGCUGAGCAACUACAUCUCCAAUCUUUUUGGUUGUUAUUUUUGCUUUUCAAUUUAGAUGAUCUAUUUGUAUUGUGAGGAUUUAUUGAUGCAUAAUAACACUUGAUCUUGAGGGGUUGACAUGAGUUGGCUGUUAUGUCAUCUUCGCAACUGAAUCCAUUAGAGAUCAGUUUUUUAUUAUUUAUUUUCUUCUUGAUUUUGUCAGUGUCAUGUGAUGAAAACUUAUUCUAUCUUAGGACACCUUCUGACACAGUGCUGAUUUCCUGUGGAUGAGAAGGCUUUUAUAUUCUGAUGAUACGCUAUAUUUCUUGGGCACUAUCUUAGUUUUGUGUUUUUGGCUAGUGUGCAGCCUUUUCUUUCACACUAGUGACCUGUAAUUUAAUUCAAGCCUAUGAUGAUUAGCUUUAUGUUGGAAUUACCGUCUGAUUCUGAAUGACGAUAUUUUUGCGGCUUUCUGAGGCAUAAAGCGGAGAGCUCAAUACUUUUUCUUAUUUAAUUGUAUUGUUAUUUUUUUUCAGCUUAAAUUAUCCCAAUGAAGAUUCUUAGACCAGGACGUGCCGUAUGACACAGUAAACAACAGCUGUUACUCACCACUGCAUGUGUCCUCCUUUGGCUAUAACCUUUGUGGUUUGGUCAGGGCUGGAAUAUCCAUUUGCACCUGGUUUGGUUCAUCUGUGUGCAUGAUUUUAAAUGGGUCUCUGAGGGAUUCUGUUGUAAUUGUUUAAUCUGUUCUGUGUGAUAGGAAACCUGAGUCUAUUUUGGUUGGUAUACACUCUCCAGAGCUGGUUAUUGUGGUUGAUAUACUUUUGUAGUGGCUGGUUGGUAAACACUCUCCACAUCUGGUUAUUGUGGUUGAUAUAUUUUUGUAGUGUCUGACAAGUUCUAGUCAAUAUGAUUUGGUCAGUUUUGGGGACAAGUUACGGUGAUGAUGAUAAAUUUAAGGUUGUUUCUCAAAACAUUCGCAGAUGCCGCCUAAGAGCUUUCGCCAAGCCAGGCUUGAGAGCUAAUGCUGCUAAUUCCUUCCUUGGAUGUCUGAGCCUUAUUAAUAUCCUUGCUUUGUUGUCUUCCGUUUGAUUGUCUUAUCUUGUUUUAUGUGGGCAGCGCUGUUUCAACGCUUGGCUGCUGUUCUUGCAUCCAAGUUUACAACGCUCCUGAGAUGUAUUCAGGUGGUGCUUAGAGCACAAAUCCGUCCAGAUGGAUCUUGGGUUACGCUCGCCCCCAAAUUCGAGUUUAAUCUCUGUUUUUGUUGCAUUAUGUUGUCUGUAAUUAUAGUGGAAUCUGAGAAUAUUUCUUCUGGUUUCAAUGUGUAUUAUUAUGUUGUUUCCUCUGUUUUCACUGAGAUUUUGUUUUUUGAUUCUUGAAAGAAUCUUAUGGAACAUAAAAUAUCGAUCUAAUCUUUAAUUUACUUUAGAUUGUCCAGCACUGAUAUCUCCCAUAGAAUCAAAGUAUUAGCCUGUCAGAGUGUUGUUUUUUAUGUUUGAUGGAAACUUGCAUUUCCAUUUGCUAGUUAAACUCAGCUUAGACGCCAACCGCAUUUCAACAGCAUUUCAGGUAGAAAACUCUGGAGCACUGUUCUGUUCAGUUUUUGUGGACUGUAUCAGACAAUGUAUCAGACAACAGUACAACCUGUCUACUCCUUUUCUGUGAGUGGCGUUGCUCUGUUUUGAAGCAUUGGUUUCUAUAAAUCAGUCCAUAAAAUGUACUUCAUGUUGUUGAAAUAGAGAUGAUGUAAUGAUAUUUUUGCAGUUGCUGGUUUGGUUAUCUACGCUGAUAAAUUUCACUACUUGAAGUUCUUAUUUCACAAUCAUAACAGCUUGCAAUUUGUUUGUCUGGAAUAAGUUAUGUUCUGCCAUGAAAUAACAAGUAGUCAGGACCGGAAAUAGAACUAAAAUGGAUCAUUUAUGCUUGUCUUGUGAGCACAAUACUCUGAUCUGGGUUGUACUGAGAGCAUAUCAUUGAUGCUGUCCAUUUGUGAGCAUAUCUGUCAAUUGGAAAUCAGUGUAAUGUAGUGCAGGUGGCAAAGGAGAUCAAUUGAACUAUCAAACUGAACUGGCUAAACGUAUGAGAGAUCAAUGAAGGAAUUGUAGUGCAGGAGGAGAUUAAAUAAAUUAACUGAAGCAAACUGGUACAUAAAACUAAAUUAAAAGUCAAAGGAGAUCAACUAAUCUUACUGGAUUGAACUAUGGCCCAAAAUAAACACUUGACAUAAUGGAAAUGUUCUAGAUGCUUGCUUCUUUAGGAUCACUCAAGUACAUCACCAAAACCCCGUAAGAACAUCAUCUAUGAUUGGUUCAUGUGAAUUAAGUAAAAAAGUAAGAUUUUUCACAUUACCAUAUCCUUGGUUUCUAAAGAAACUAUGAGAAAUAUUACCAGUUGAUUUCUAAAGUAUUACACGACUUCCCAUUGUCCCUAGAAACACAGUUAAACUGUCGCACAAAGGGCGCCCUUUUACCGUGUGAGGUGAAAAAAAAACUGAAGGAGAGAAAAAAAAGAGAGAAAUGAAUCGUCCUCCUUUCCCAUUCACCAUUCACAACCGCCUUGAUUCCUCCCCCUCCCUCAUGGCCACGGUGGCGCGAGCGCUCUGAUGCUGGUUCAAGCUGCUUGAGGCGGCUCUUACCCUUGUGCCGACGCAAUGGACAAGGUGCCCUCUCCAUCACUUCUGCGUGUGUGUUUAAUUUGGAGUUGGUCCUCUGUUCACAAAGAUCCCUCCAUUCUCUGUUGCAGGAGAACAUAUACCUCUGUUAGUGGAGCAGCCCCCCUAGCCCUUCUUCAGCCAUGGAGGAGCGAAUCCCCCUUCUUAUCCCCUUAUGUGAUGUGUGCCUCUGCUUGUAGAGGCGUGGAGAAUUUUUGAGUGUAUGUUGGCCAUUGAGGCAUGGCAAUUUCUAAAGUGUUAUCCUACUGGCAUGCCACAUCUUUUAGUACUCGGAGAGUUUUAUCUACCGUGAGGAUUUUUGCGUUAUUUAUAUAAUCUACACUUCCUAUAGUUAAUUCCUGACAAUCAGGUUGCUGUUAAACUUUUCUUCAUAUAAGAGAAAAGGUUGUUUCUACAUUUGCAUCCAAUCCAACAUUGAAUUAAAAAAAAUGUGCAUCUUAUUUGGUUAUUGGCCUUUCUAAAUUAAAAAAUGUGCAUAUUUAUGUAUUUAAGAAAAGGAUAUGUGCAUGGUACCGAACAUGAGAAAAACACUGUUGACCAUAUCUCGAAUCAAGCAUGUUUUUUUUUUGAGAAAAUGCUGCAUUUCAUUAUAUUGAAAAGAGAGAUAGCUAAUUAGAGAACAAAACACUAUGGCGGCAAAUGAGAUUAUCGAGCUGUUCUACGAACUGAUUGUUACAUGGCUUCCGAUCAUUGCCAAGCAGAAGUAUCUUGCAACAUUUCCUUGCCUUCAGAAUUGACUGUACAGAAAACUAGGACCUAAACUUGUGCUACUGGCCAACCAUUUCUUCAGGGAAUGCCGAGCGGACCUGAAAGAAGGUAUCUGCAGUUUGAUAUUUGCAGCCCCAAGGUGCUCUGAAUUCCCUGAACUCAGUCGGAUGUGGGACCUUCUUGAAAAGAAGUAUGGGAAAGAUUUUGUUGCUGCUGCAGUUGAUCUGCGCACAAAUGCUGGUGUCAAUACUUUGUAAGGCUAAUUGAGGAAGUUGUCAGUCAUCUCUGGACUACACUAUCAAGUUCCAAAGCGAAGAUUUGUGCAAACAGUACAAGUGUGUCUAAGAUUAUGAGCAGUAUCAAUACUUCAACUUGACAUGAUUUAAGAUGCUAAUCCUAUUCUAGAUAAAUUUUCCAGUGGAAGCUCACAAGAAUCUAUUCUUUGUCAAUGGAAGGUAGACAAUUUCCUCAGACCUGUCUGGAGACACCUGAAUUUACAAUUAAACUAUUCUAUGUUGCUUAUUAUUUCAUCUUCUAUCUACACGUUGCAAAUUUAUGUUGAGGAGCUUCACACAGAAUUGGUAUAUCCCAUAAUAAUUAAUUUGUAUUGCUCAAAGAAAGGCUCGGGUUUUUUUUCACUAGCACAGAUGAGCAUCAGCUAAUGGUUCAUGUGAAUCAGGCUAAUGUACCAAGAACAACUACACCUUUUACAUGUUGAAGACGGGGUGUAACUUGUUCGACUAUAUUUUCUGCGUUCCCUGCAUCUGCUGCUUUGUACCUUGACAGGGAAUCAAGAAUUGUCCCCACCUACAAAUUUAUCAAACAUGAUAAGCAGUUAAGAACCCAAAGCAAGAACUACAUCAUACUCUGUGCAUCCAUUCAGAGCAGUCAGAAGCUUUGUCAAUGUAUAUCUUUGUAAUCUCAAAGAUCGGAUGAACACUGCUGCGUUGAAUCUCUGCAAGAGCAGCAACAACAUUUGCAACCACCAUAGCAUUAUUUUCAAAAAUUAAGUCUGAGGGCCUCUAGAAAUCCUCUGCCUCCAGUAGCUCAGCAUUUAUAUCAUGUACUAAACUCUCCAGUUUAGUUUUCGCGGAUAUAAGAUAAUAUGGUAUGUAAUCAAGAGAUUCAUUUUAAAUUUGGAUUGUUCACAUGUUUACUGAAAGCAUAUAUGCUCUAUUAUGUGGAGUUGAUUUUUCUCUUUUUAGCACCAUCUAUCUUGGAAUUAGAUUUGAUACUAUAAGAAUAUAAUGAUGACUAUUUCUUGAUGGGUACUUGCUGCAUGAUUUUUCCAGUGCAUGUCCAAGUCUACAUGUGAAAGGAUCUUGCUUGAUUCCGUUCUACUGGAGAUUAUGGAGUGUAAUUCUUCAGAUGCAGAAAUGUCACAUUUUGCUGAGGGUUCCGAGAGUACAAUACAAGCCAAAAUCAAGACUUUGGAUUCUCAAACAUACAAUUUGCAUGUGAAUAAAUAUGUAAGUUUGCUAUGCAUGAUCCUAUCACAAACUAUGGUUACAAGUUUCUCUCUGGGAACUCAUGAUGUGUUGUUUGCAUUAUUUGUGUGAUUUUCUGUUGUACUCUGUAAAAACUUGGCUGUUUCCAUGCAAUAUUUAUUCAUAAUCAGUCUGAUUCCUGCGACGUCCUCCUGUUUUUUCAGUGAAAUUACUGUUGUAUUCUGAUUUUGACAAGAAAUUUACAGAUAACUGUAUAGCAAAUUUCCACUAUUCCCAUAAGUAAUUUUGAGAACACACCAGUACAUCCAUAUUUCAUAAGCAAUGUGUUAGUUGGAUGCCAUUUAGUAUUAUGCCUUUAUGCGGAACAUUAAGAGUUACAUGAGUUGGCACCUGAUGUGCUGGAUAUUCCUGUCAUAAGUUCAACAUGAUUUGCCUUUUAGUUUUUUUCUGACAAUCUCUUGAUAGAGCUUUGUUUCAUUUUUUUCUAAGUUAAAGACGGAUAUAUAUAGUGUUGUUGUGCUCAUUGUCUAGGAAACUGUUAUGUUGAAAACAUUUUAUACUGAUUUGAUGUGGCAAAUUUACUUGUAGAUAAAUACAUGUUGUCUGGUCCAAAUACUGAUUUAUUUGAUGUGAACGAAGAUGGUUUGGGUGGCAAUCCAAACUUUUUUGGAUACUCUGAAAACACCAGGAAUGAUGUAUUGCCAGCACUUGAGAGGAAAACAGGAGGUUCUGGUUCUAUUUCUGCUCUUAAGGAACUACUGGCCGUUUGACUCUCUGCUCAUUAAACUGGUAGUGUAUAAGAUGUGCGAAACAUUUUGCAGUGCACUCCCAUAAUAUAAGAGCGUUUUUGACACUACACUAGUGUAAAAAAUGCUCUUAUAUUAUGGGACGGAGGGAGUAGUUUUUUAAGCUGGGCCAAGUCCUCUAGAUGGUUCGGGAGGCAAUGAGACUUAUGCUCAAGUCAGUUAGCAGUUUCAUUCUUCGAGUUGUUUGACCUGAUAUCUGUAGUGUUGACAUCAUACAUAAGCCGAGAGAAUGAAAUGUCUCAGAUCAUAUGAAGGUGAUUGAUCUUAGCAGAAAAAAAUAGUGAAGUACUACACUAGUGUCAAAAAACGUCUUACAUUAUGGGACGGAGGGAGUACAAUAUAUUUAUCCUGCAAUUUUAAGGAUCUCAAUGACCAUAAUAAAGGGACGUGGUAAAGCUUAUUCUGAAAGAUUACUGCGCAUUUGCCCCCAACAAGUAACUGAUUGCGCUGGGCAUUUUUAGUUCUUUUACCCCUUUCCCAGUUCAUUGGCAUGGUAUUAUGUUACCGUGCUGUCAUUAUCUGUAUUAAUGUUAAUACUUCAGAAGUGUUCAAUUUAUUUAUCAUUUUACAUAUUUAAAGGUGACUGAGGGCUGUGAUGAUGUGGACCUACCAGUUCCUAGGAAAUUAAGAUCGAUGUGCUAAUCACUGCAUUUGAUGUCUCAUACAACUAAGAAAAGGGAUAGUUUGUCCCUUUCUCUUUCCAUCUUUACGUAUUGAUUUGCAGAUUGCAUAGGAGCAUCUGUGACUAAUAGUUUUUAACAAAAAAUCUAACUUAGCUUGUCCCUGAAUAUACUAUUGAUGUUGGUGUUUCUACUCUUGGGACAUCCACGGUUCAGAUGUUCUCUUAAGCCAUUGGCAUGUAUCUUCUGUCUAAAAAAUGCUCUUUUACUUUGUUCUAAUACAAGACUUAAAGUUGCAAGUGAACUAUGGGUUCUUGUAGUCAUCGAAUUUUUUCACGAAGGACUAAGUGCUUGCUGAUACUUUGCUAGCACUAUCCCAAAUACCACCAGCUCCAGCUGACAUGGCGACGGAGCUAGAUAUCUCAAACAUAAAUAUUGCCUCAUCUUCUUGUUUAGAAGGUUGAUCAUAAUUUCCUGAUAUUGUCUAUUGCAUACUAAUAACUGAGAAUUCCUCUUCAAAUUAACCAGGCCAGUUUGCUAUGUAGCCAGCUCUUACUGAAUCGAUCUAUGUCAGCUCAUGCUCUCAAAUUGGUCAAGAGGUCAUUGUGUGUUGAGUCUUAUCUACAGAUUAAUUGUUUUGUUCAGCCCAACAGUCUUAUCCACAUAUAUCUAACCACAUUGGGAGUUCUGACAUCUUUAUAGUUGAAUUAAUCCUCAUACAUAUGGCAGGUGCAGGAGGUACAAUGUAAGCAAGCAGGGCGGUCGCGAUCAUGCUGCCCGUCGGCCUUACCACUGGAGAUUCAGGCGAGAACCGGCGCCCCCACCAUGCCUGUUGCCUGUUGGUGACGCUCACGCAGGAAUCCAGAGGCAGCACCUUGGUCUUCUCCAUGUGAACACCACCUCUCCGACGAUGCAGCCGCCAUCCGAGGGUGGCGGGACCGAUGCCACCGUCCAUGCCAUGUUCUGGCUGAUCCCCCAAGGCUCCUCACCUACGUCCAAAGGGCAGCACACAACCAAUGGUACUGCUGCCAUGACGACACCCACCUCUGUGUUGAUUGAGCUUUUCGACCUGCCCGGAAUGGACAAGGUCAUUCGGGCAUCUGAUUUUGAUGUGCCAUUUGCUCUGUUUGAUAAGAAGUCAAGUGUAGCAACAUGAACAAUUGUGUUACAGAAACUGUGCUACCAAUUGUUUGUAAUAGAU